rnacentral:lncRNA from 1 species
UUGAAGCUAUAAGCCAUUAGCAUGGUAUGAAGGUAUGACCCCUAAUUUCUGAUGCCUUAUCAUGGCAUAAAUGCUCUUGUGAUGGCUUUAUUUGGUGUAACCGUGUAAGUUACUAGGUACAGGUAGAUGUACAGCUCCAGCAUGAUCAACAAUUGUAAGAAUAACGUAACAAACAAAUGACUUCAGUUGGGGUGAGAUUAACACUUGGUCCAAUUGACUAUGGCCCAUGAAUUAAAACUGCAAUAACUCCACAGUGACCGGACCCCACCAAUGACACCAAAUCCAGGUUGGUGAUGGGGUAAAGAAAGCAAAUGGUUCUUUUCUCUCUCUCGUCUUUUUUUCCCUGAGGUAUGUGAUAGUCAAGGUCCUGGUUUGUUUACUAUAGGACAAUCAUCUUAAAGUCAUUUGGACUCUGGGUUGGAAAUUUAUAGUGAAUAUAAGAAAGGAGGGGGGAAGAGGGCCAUUAAGUGUUAUGUUUUGUAGGUAACUAGUCUGGUACACUGAUGAGGUGUGCCAAUUUGAUGUGUUGUUUAGCAGGCCAGCACAAGGGGUUUAAUAGUUGAUCUCUAUUGGCUAUUUAUCUGAAAAUGUUUGAAACUAAAGAUUUAAUUAGAUCAAACUAUGAAUGAGCAGUGCAAUCUUUUUUUUUGGGUAAACACUACUAGUGCUGGUUUGCUAUACAUGCAAUGCCUUGAACCCAUGCCUAUUUAUAGUUGCUAUUUUUGGUUUUAUGCUUGAAUGAAGGACUAAAUAGUUGAACAUAGUCAGGACAAUUUAUAAAUUGUGAAUGUCUUGUAGAAUACCAAGUCAUUGCUCCAGUGAGAUGUAGGAUGUGUCAGGUCAUUAAAUAUUUGCUUUUCAAAAGACAAGAUAGAAAGAGAGAUGAAUAUGAUUGCAGCCUUUUACAGUGAACAGUGUUAAUGUUUGCAGAUAUUACUCACCUGACUAGCUGAGUUUUGAGUAGCAUAAAUAUGCAUGCCACGAUUAGAAGCAAAAAUAGAUGCUGUAAAGAAUAUACCGAUUACAUAAAUAAAAAUCGCACAGCAUUGAAAUUAUCAUGUCAUAUAAUUUCAUCCCCCUUCCUUGACAGUUGACAGUUCCUGUUUACUGUUUAACACAGUAAUCAGAACUGUUGUUUGUAUUAAUGUUGUCAAGCUAAUGUCACAAGAAAUUAACAAACAAUAUCAUGUCGUUUAAACAACUAACAUUUUGCUAAAGAACUGAUAUAUAUGCUAAUAUUUCUGUGAUCUGUCUUUAAUUUUUAACUUUUGCUGGGAUUAUUUAUAUGUGAGCCCGAUUUCAGUUUCUUUAACAUCAUUUAAAAGUUCUGAAAGUGAAGGAUUUUCACUGAUAAAAAAUAAAAAUGUAUGGAAUGAUAUAAAAUGUAAUCAAGUAAAGAAGAAUUUGUAAAAACAAUACCUCUUGUGUUCCAUCUAGAAGGUUCAUAUAUAACCAAUGUUUCUUAAGUAUACAACUGAAAUAGGGAGGGCAGAAAAGAUCACCAGUUGCAUAAACAAAUAGAGCGGUAGAUAGUCCUUUUUAUCGGUCUUAUGUUCCAGUUACCAUGCGAAAAUUUCCGCAUGUUCUCUCUUUCUCGCUGGAGUUCAACCUGCUUUUUUUUUAAACAAGUGCAGGAGCUCUGCCUCAUUCCUAACAGAAUGAAUAAGAGAACAAACUGCCAACCCAAUCACAUAUGCAUUUUCGGUAGCUCUUCGCUAGUUCUUUGACCGUGGUAUCUUAACCAGAAAGCCCAAUGGUUUCUGAUAUCACUGCACUGCAGCAGUAAUAUGUGGUGACAGAAGAAAACAAGGG